CCCUUAGAUGUUCUGGGCCGCACGCGCGCUACACUGACUGACUCAACGAGUUUACAACCUGUGCCGAAAGGUAUGGGUAAUCUUUUGAAAUUCAGUCGUGAUGGGGCUAGAUUAUUGCAACUAUUAAUCUUCAACGAGGAAUGCCUAGUAAGCGCGAAUCAUCAGUUCGCGUUGAUUACGUCCCUGCCCUUUGUACACACCGCCCGUCGCUCCUACCGAUUGAAUGGUCCGGUGAAAAUUUCGGACAGUGGCGAUGCUGGCGGUCCGCCGCCGGCGCUGUCGCUGGAAGAUCUUUAAACCUUAUCAUUUAGAGGAAGGAGAAGUCGUAACA
rnacentral:rRNA from 1 species